rnacentral:rRNA from 1 species
CAAUAGCGUAUAUUAAAGUUGUUGCAGUUAAAAAGCUCGUAGUUGGAUUUGUGGCGUACGGUGUGUUCCGGGCACUUGUUGUCUGAGUAACCUGCUGUUGCCAUCCUUGGGUGGAACCUGUGUGGCAUUAGGUUGUCGUGCAGGGGAUGCCCAUCAUUUACUGUGAAAAAAUUAGAGUGUUCAAAGCAGGCUUAUGCCGUUGAAUAUAUUAGCAUGGAAUAAUGAGAUAGGACUUUUUUGCUAUUUUGUUGGUUUGCGCAAAGAGGUAAUGAUUAAUAGGGACAGUUGGGGGUAUUCGUAUUCCAUUGUCAGAGGUGAAAUUCUUGGAUUUUUGGAAGACGAACUACUGCGAAAGCAUUUACCAAGGAUGUUUUCAUUAAU